CCUGGCCUUAGAAGUGUUGCAGGUGUGCCUGCUGUGUCCUAUGUGAGUCACGGUGGCACAGAAGAAAGGGGCUAUGUGGACUCAGUGUUCUGACAUGUGAAUAUCCCAAUGAUUAGUAGUAGUUUAAC